CCUACGGGAGGCAGCAGUGAGGAAUAUUGGUCAAUGGACGCAAGUCUGAACCAGCCAAGUAGCGUGCAGGAAGACGGCCCUCUGGGUUGUAAACUGCUUUUAGUUGGGAAUAAAGUGCACCACGUGUGGUGUUUUGUAUGUACCAUCAGAAAAAGGACCGGCUAAUUCCGUGCCAGCAGCCGCGGUAAUACGGAAGGUCCGGGCGUUAUCCGGAUUUAUUGGGUUUAAAGGGAGCGCAGGCGGACCUUUAAGUCAGCUGUGAAAUACGGCGGCUCAACCGUCGAACUGCAGUUGAUACUGGAGGUCUUGAGUGCACACAGGGAUACUGGAAUUCAUGGUGUAGCGGUGAAAUGCUCAGAUAUCAUGAAGAACUCCGAUCGCGAAGGCAGGUAUCCGGGGUGCAACUGACGCUGAGGCUCGAAAGUGCGGGUAUCAAACAGGAUUAGAUACCCGUGUAGUC
rnacentral:rRNA from 1 species